GGAUGUUGCUGGCCUCUGCUCUUCUAAGACUUCAGCUGCAGAACCCACUCGUGAAUCCUCCUAGGGCUCUGGAGAAGAUCUAAUGGGAGACUGAGUGUGGAAACUCUUUGGAAACCAUGAAGCACUCCGUAAAAGGUACUCUAAUGGGAGAAAAAUUCUGCUUUGGUCUGGGGCCAUCUUCUUGCUUCUGCUCCAAAUUUGGACCCUCACGCCUUCACAUCUGAGACAGAGAUGCCAACAGCCUCAGCAGCAUCAACGCAGGAUGUUCACACACACACACACACACACACACGUGCACAAAUAAUGAGCCUCAUACAUCUUACUUGGAAACAAUGCAAACGGGUUCCACUGGGAAGUCAAAACCACUAUGAGUAUCAUGAUAUAAAGAAUCUAUUAUAGGAAGACAUUACACAAAUGGGGAGAAGUUGGAGAGAAGUCCAAAAGGACGAGUUGAAAGAUCAGAUAGAAACCACCAGCCUUCUGAUACACUAUACAAGAGGACCAGUGAUAACUUACAGGAAA